AUUGAACGCUGGCGGCAGGCCUAACACAUGCAAGUCGAGCGGGGUUUUCGGGCCUAGCGGCGGACGGGUGAGUAAUGCGUAGGAAGCUACCCGAUAGAGGGGGAUACCAGUUGGAAACGACUGUUAAUACCGCAUAAUGUCUACGGACCAAAGUGUGGGACCUUCGGGCCACAUGCUAUCGGAUGCGCCUACGUGGGAUUAGCUAGUUGGUGAGGUAAUGGCUCACCAAGGCGACGAUCCCUAGCUGGUUUGAGAGGAUGAUCAGCCACACUGGAACUGAGACACGGUCCAGACUCCUACGGGAGGCAGCAGCGGGGAAUAUUGGACAAUGGGCGCAAGCCUGAUCCAGCCAUGCCGCGUGUGUGAAGAAGGCCUUCGGGUUGUAAAGCACUUUCAGCGAGGAGGAAGGGGUGAGUGUUAAUAGUACUCAUCUUUGACGUUACUCGCAGAAGAAGCACCGGCUAACUCUGUGCCAGCAGCCGCAGUAACAC
rnacentral:rRNA from 1 species